CCCGCCGGCGACCGGCGCACGGGUGAGUAACACGUAUGCGACCUGGCCGCCACAGGGGGAUAACCCGCGGAAACGCGGCCUAAUACCCCGUGACGCCACCGGAGGGCAUCCUCCGGUGGCCAAAGGAGCGAUCCGGUGGCGGAUGGGCAUGCGGCGCAUUAGCUAGACGGCGGGGUGACGGCCCACCGUGGCGACGAUGCGUAGGGGUUCUGAGAGGAGGGCCCCCCACACUGGGACUGAGACACGGCCCAGACUCCUACGGGAGGCAGCAG
rnacentral:rRNA from 1 species